GUAGGUGGCAAGCGUUGUCCGGAAUUAUUGGGCGUAAAGCGCGCGCAGGCGGUCCUUUAAGUCUGAUGUGAAAGCCCACGGCUCAACCGUGGAGGGUCAUUGGAAACUGGGGGACUUGAGUACAGAAGAGGAAAGCGGAAUUCCACGUGUAGCGGUGAAAUGCGUAGAGAUGUGGAGGAACACCAGUGGCGAAGGCGGCUUUCUGGUCUGUAACUGACGCUGAGGCGCGAAAGCGUGGGGAGCAAACAGGGAUUAGAUACCCUGGUAGUCCACGCCGUAAACGAUGAGUGCUAAGUGUUAGGGGGGUUUCCGCCCCCUUAGUGCUGCAGCUAACGCAUUAAGCACUCCGCCUGGGGAGUACGGCCGCAAGGCUG
rnacentral:rRNA from 1 species